rnacentral:lncRNA from 1 species
AUGUAUACAACUUUCCUGUUUUUCAGUUUCUUCUUCUUCAAGAUCUAUGACUUCUCCGAGAUAAUACUUUAUUUGCUUGGAGUAAACAGGCAGUUGGUGGAGUACUUCAGUUGAAGGCAUAAUCUUCAUCUUGUUAAACAUCUCUCUAGAAUGCCCACAAUUUCUUUCUUUUCUCUCCUCUUCACUCUUAUUUUCUCUCUUCUCCUCCUCUUCAUCCUCACUACUCUCUAGCUCAAUUAUCUCUUUUUCCACUCCUCUCUCAUCUGUGCUCACCACAACUUUGCACUCUUCUUUAGGGUUAACAUCAGUAUUAGCCCUAAACUGAUUCUUUUCCAUGGCUUCCACCCUUUUUGAUAGUUGACCAAUUUGUAUUUCCAAAUUCCUAAAAUUGGCUUCAUUACUCUUAUAGUGAGAAUCAUACACCUUUAGGAAUUUAUCAAAUUUAUCAUUCAAGCUUCUUACAUUCUCAGUCAAACUAGCCACCUGCUACCAUAAGGGUGGUUGUUGUGGUCUGUCGAAAAGGCCUCUUAUCUGCCCAGAUGGGUUACUCUGAGUCUACCCAAUACUAGGGUGAUUCUUCCAACCUUGGCUAUAGUUGUGUUGGUUGAAGUUACCUUGUCUAUACUGGAACUGAUUCCCCAUAAAAUUAGCCUCUUCUUGUGCUUCUUUAGGUGCACCACAUUGACCAUUAAAUAAUCACCAC